AGAGUUUGAUCAUGGCUCAGAACGAACGCUGGCGGCAUGCCUAACACAUGCAAGUCGAACGUGAUCCAGGCCUUCGGGUUUGGUGAAAGUGGCAGACGGGUGAGUAACGCGUGGGAACCUGCCCAAUGGUAGGGAAUAACCGCGGAAACUGCGGCUAAUACCCUAUGACCCCUGCGGGGGAAAGAUUUAUCGCCAUUGGAGGGGCCCGCGUCGGAUUAGGUAGUUGGUAGGGUAACGGCCUACCAAGCCUUCGAUCCGUAGCUGGUCUGAGAGGAUGAUCGGCCACACUGGGACUGAGAUACGGCCCAGACUCCUACGGGAGGCAGCAGUGGGGAAUAUUGGACAAUGGGGGCAACCCUGAUCCAGCAAUGCCGCGUGAGUGAUGAAGGCCUUCGGGUUGUAAAGCUCUUUCGGCGGGGAAGAUGAUGACGGUACCCGCAGAAGAAGCCCCGGCUAACUUCGUGCCAGCAGCCGCGGUAAUACGAAGGGGGCUAGCGUUGUUCGGAAUUACUGGGCGUAAAGGGCGCGUAGGCUGUGCUGUAAGUCAGGCGUGAAAUCCCCGGGCUCAACCUGGGAAUUGCGCAUGAUACUGCGGCGCUUGAAGACGGGAGAGGAUGGCGGAAUUCCCAGUGUAGAGGUGAAAUUCGUAGAUAUUGGGAAGAACACCGGGCGAAGGCGGCCAUCUGGCCCGUAAUUGACGCUGAGGCGCGAAAGCGUGGGGAGCAAACAGGAUUAGAUACCCUAGUAGUCC
rnacentral:rRNA from 1 species